GGGGCGGCCAUGACCCUGCUGGAGUGCGGGGGGGACCUCCAGCUGCCCGGGGGGUCCCUGCACCUCUUCUGCCGUGGGUCCGGGUACAGUUUCGGCAAUUUUGCCAUGAACUGGGUCCGACAGAGACCCGGGCAGGGGCUGGAAUUCGUGGCGUACAUAAACAUUGGUGGAGCCACUUACUACGCGCCUUCGGUCAAGGGCCGGUUCACGAUCUCCCAGGACAACGGGCAGAGCUCGGUGACGCUGACCAUGAACAACCUCAAGGUUGAGGAUUCCGGACCCUAUUUCUGUGCCAGGGCUGCUGAUAAUUAUGGUGCUGCUGCUAAUGACUUUGAAUUAAAAGUAGAGAUUUAA